AUUCCAUGUAACAUCAUAGAAAGUGGAACUGUAACUUUCUCUUAUAAGUAACAAUGUAUUAGCAUACACUAACACUCACUCUCAUCUUGCAGUUCUUACUCCUACUCUACCUCCUCACAUAUGUCGGAGCUGUGUUCAAUGGACUUACUCUUCUACUCCUGGGUAAGUAGCCAUGGUCCAAGGGAAAAUUAUACUGAGGCUUAAAGAGCCUGAUUGGAUUUGUUUUGUUUUUAGCUAAUUUAUGUAUUAUUAUGAAGACCGUUCAACCAGAGUAAGAAUUCUCCAUAGGAAACCAUAACUCCAUUUGAUAUUCACAAAUGGCGUUGUGGUUUCAACGGACUUAAGGCGGCAAGUCACCCCUCGCAAAAAGAGUAUUUCAUAAAAAAAUAGGAUUUUUAUAAACUACUUAUAUGGACUGUGUUGGAAUGUCUGUGAAAUUAAUUCUACCCAUGGAAGAUCUUGUGGGCUAUACUCUUAUAUAUAUAUAUAUAAAAGUACAGCAGUGACGUCAACUUUUGGGAGAUGAAGCACCAGGAGAAGAAGAGGACAGGCAAGAAGAGGAUGGAGGGGGGCCCAGGUAAGUAAAACUCAUCUUUCCCUGGUCACCGGACCCCAAGUAGAGAUGUCACUAUCUGGGGUCAUUGCAAAUUGCAAAGUCUCCUGAUGAUGAUAGAUUUGCUUUUUAAAAACAAAAAAAAAGUUUAUUGGUAGCAAUGCUGUCCUAUGGUCUUAUUAGGAGAGUGCUGCUAGUAAAAUGAACCCUUUCAGUGUUUGACAAGAAAAAGCAGCAUGGUACAUACUAAGGAUAUAAUAAGGAAGACUCAAUCCAAAUAGAAUCUCAUAGACCUUAGUAAGUAUUUGUUUACUUUUUUUAAACUUUUUCAUAGUGUCACAUGACGUGUGCGGCUAUAAGCUUAUGGCUGCUGUUUUCUUAGUGUUGUGCUGUCAUAGAUCCACUGACUGAGCUGAGUUACACUUGGAAAGUAACCUACAAUGUGAGAUAGUAAAUACUGCAGAUCUUUAACCUGACUUCCAAGUGUAACUGAAUUAAGCAACAGCGGGAUUCUUGCAGGAGCUUGCAGUUCCAAGGGACCAUGUGACUUGUACACUGAGGACCCCAAGUAAGUUAACAAACUGUUCUCAGUUUGACUACUUACGAUGGUAGGGUGCUCUACGGCAGGCUGUAUUCCUUAUGGUACUUGGAGUGUUCUAUAUGAACCAAUGACAUUUCUAUCAUUACAUGAGGAUUCCUAAUGAUUCGUAAUGGUAUAGGUUUUCCAGUUUUAAUAUAGAUUUGCAGACCAUGUUUCUCUAGAUACUUCUAUACUGCUUCUUCCACCCUGUUUCCCCGAAAAUAAGACAUCCCCCAAAAAUAAGCCCUAGCUUUUUUGGGGGGGAUGUUCGUAAUAUAAGCCUUACCACGAAAAUAAGCCCUUGAAGCUAGUUCGUAAAUCUAUGUUCGGGGAAUUUUCCUGAACAUAGAUUCGCAGGAUUCCAUUUGAGAGUAAGUUAAUUCGGGGAAGUUUCCCCGAACAUAGAUUUGCGGGAUUCCAUGCCCUAGUGAACUGGUCUAUGUUCAGGGAAUUCCCCCGAAUGUUGACCUACUUUCUAGCAUAUGCUUGCUACCAUUUUUUUCCAAAAUAAGACAUCCCCCGAAAAUAAACCCUUUUGCGGUUUUUGGGGGGAAAACCAAUAUAAGACCCGGUCUUAUUUUCGGCGAAAGACGGUAUCAUCACUAAGGCGGCUGGGGUUAACAGGAGUUAUAGUGGAAUAGUUGAAUAUGUCUUAUAAAGUAACAGAAUGAGCACUGAUGCAUGUUGCAGGGACACCUAGAUUUACUUUUUAAAAUAAUUUCUCCCUGAAAUACAAUUCUGACAAGUCAUAGACGGACUAUAACAUAGCAAAACUGAAAUUCUCAUUAAAAGAAAAGGAUGAUCCCUAAUUGUAAUUUUAUUCUCCCUUUCAGUUGUCAUCGGAGCAUUCACUUUUCCAAUCUUGUACAGACAGAACAAGGUGAGUUCAUACAUAGUCUCAUUCUCGCACCCAAACUGUGACCUUAGCAUGGCACACAG